rnacentral:rRNA from 1 species
GACGAACGCUGGCGGCGUGCUUAAUACAUGCAAGUCGAACGGAAAGGCCCUGCUUUUGUGGGGUGCUCGAGUGGCGAACGGGUGAGUAACACGUGAGUAACCUGCCCUUGACUUUGGGAUAACUUCAGGAAACUGGGGCUAAUACCGGAUAGGAGCUCCUGCUGCAUGGUGGGGGUUGGAAAGUUUCGGCGGUUGGGGAUGGACUCGCGGCUUAUCAGCUUGUUGGUGGGGUAGUGGCUUACCAAGGCUUUGACGGGUAGCCGGCCUGAGAGGGUGACCGGCCACAUUGGGACUGAGAUACGGCCCAGACGCCUACGGGAGGCAGCAGUGGGGAAUAUUGCCCAAUGGGCGGAAGCCUGAUGCAGCAACGCCGCGUGCGGGAUGACGGCCUUCGGGUUGUAAACCGCUUUCGCCUGUGACGAAGCGUGAGUGACGGUAAUGGGUAAAGAAGCACCGGCUAACUACGUG